rnacentral:rRNA from 1 species
UACGUAGGGGGCUAGCGUUGUCCGGAAUCAUUGGGCGUAAAGCGCGUGUAGGCGGUUCGGUAAGUCCGCUGUGAAAGUCGGGGGCUCAACCCUCGGAUGCCGGUGGAUACUGUCGAGCUUGAGUACGGAAGAGGCGAGUGGAAUUCCUGGUGUAGCGGUGAAAUGCGCAGAUAUCAGGAGGAACACCAAUUGCGAAGGCAGCUCGCUGGGACGUUACUGACGCUGAGACGCGAAAGCGUGGGUAGCAAACAGG